UACAGAGGGGGGCGAGCGUUAUUCGGAAUUAUUGGGCGUAAAGGGCGCGUAGGCGGCUUUUCAAGUGGCGGGUGAAAUCCCUCGGCUUAACCUGGGAACUGCGUGUGAUACUGGAUGGCUUGAAUUCGGGAGAGGGAUGCAGAAUUCCAGGUGUAGCGGUGAAAUGCGUAGAUAUCUGGAGGAAUACCGGUGGCGAAGGCGGCAUCCUGGACCGGCAUUGACGCUGAGUGAGCGAAAGCCAGGGGAGCAAACGGG
rnacentral:rRNA from 1 species